AUUGAACGCUGGCGGCAGGCCUAACACAUGCAAGUCGAGCGGAUGAAGGGAGCUUGCUCCUGGAUUCAGCGGCGGACGGGUGAGUAAUGCCUAGGAAUCUGCCUGGUAGUGGGGGAUAACGUCCGGAAACGGGCGCUAAUACCGCAUACGUCCUGAGGGAGAAAGUGGGGGAUCUUCGGACCUCACGCUAUCAGAUGAGCCUAGGUCGGAUUAGCUAGUUGGUGGGGUAAAGGCCUACCAAGGCGACGAUCCGUAACUGGUCUGAGAGGAUGAUCAGUCACACUGGAACUGAGACACGGUCCAGACUCCUACGGGAGGCAGCAGUGGGGAAUAUUGGACAAAGGGCGAAAGCCUGAUCCAGCCAUGCCGCGUGCGUGAAGAAGGUCUUCGGAUUGUAAAGCACUUUAAGUUGGGAGGAAGGGCAGUAAGUAAAUACCUUGCUGUUUUGACGUUACCAACAGAAUAAGCACCGGCUAACUUCGUG
rnacentral:rRNA from 1 species